CGGGGCGUGGCGCAGUCUGGUAGCGCACUACACUGGGGGUGUAGUGGUCGCUGGUUCAAAUCCAGCCGUCCCGACCA
rnacentral:tRNA from 1 species